UAAUGGGGUGGUAGGUCAGGUGCCACUCAGAGUAAUACAAUGAUACGUGGCAAAGCCUAAGCAUGUGUUCUCAACUCCCGCCAAUUAAUUACGGGUCGAACGGACCGGAAAAUCAGUUCAUCGCUUUAACCUCAGAAUUUUCAGACAAAAACAAAUAAAUAGCUUUACUUUUGUAACUACCACGUUCAUUUACCUCUCGGAG